rnacentral:lncRNA from 1 species
AUGUGAGGUGAGGAUAAGCCAGCAGCCUGUUCCGGGACACGGAUGUACAUGGCGUGUUACAUUCCUGAACCUACUAUGUUCGGUGCUCAUUGCCGGCGUGCGGUCUUUGUUCUCCUCCGUGAAAACUGUCUCCAUGCGCACUCUGGAGAACAAAGAGACAGUAUACGUUUGUUUAAUGUGACAUCAAAGCGGGUAUUGUAGCACUCGGUGAGACAAUAAGAAGCUUCCUUGUCAAAAAAAAAAAGAGGGCGAGAGAGAGAGAAAGAGCAAACAGAACCACAAAACAUGACAAACAAAACGGACUCACAAAAAUAUGUACACAGUUGUCGGAGUGGAGGGACCCCCGCGUGGGAUGAAGCCGCGUACCUCGGCGGACCGGAUUUCUGUCCAGGGUCACAGGUGCUUCUGCCAGGGACGUAGAGCCUGCUUUCCGGAGGACUCCGGGCGGGGGCCGAGGGCCCUGCGGGGCACGCGGGAGCCAGGGGUGUCUCAGAACCGCCACGGGACUUAGAAACACAUCUCCUUGCCGUAGUGUUUAAGUCGAUACGGAAACCUUCCCGAGAGCCUUAAGUGGAUUUUUUUUUACACCAUAAAGUGAUUAUUAAGCUUUCCUUUUUACUCUUUGGCUAGCUUUUUUUUUUUUUUUUUUUUUUUUUUAAUUGUCUCUUGGAUGACAUUUACACCGAUAACACCAGGCUGCUGUUAAGUCAGGACAGUGGGACCGGAAUUCCCCUCGCAGGAUGCGAACGAAUGACAUGUAUUAAAAUAAACAUGGUAUAUCCACUAUGCAUCACUUCCUAAAUGUUUCUGGCUUUACGUGUUUCUCCCCUGCCCCGUUUUAUCUCACUUUUUAAUUUAAGCCAUUUCGAGAGAACUAUGCGUGAACCAAUCGAGUCCGUCCCGGGCCUGCCGCUCCCCGUCCUCGCCGCAGCGAGGUGGCCCUGUGCCAGUAUUUGGACAGAAUCUAAAUUCUUUAUUUUUGGAAAAAGAAAAACCCACCAACAAAACCCAUACACGUGAAAAGUGCUUUGUGGUCACAUUUCUCUAGUUGCGUAACUGAGUCUAGGCCCUGUGUCCUGUCACGGGGCCCGUCACCCAGAGGCGCCCCCGGCCGCCCGUUUUUUUUAGAGCCUGUGCGGCGAGGCCUGCCCUUGGGAUUCCGGAGCCCGGUGGGACUGGGCCGACAGCGCCAUCCUGCCCGGGUGCGUGGCCUCUUGGAGACGGAGGCCAGGCGCCCACGGGAGCAGCCAAGCAGAGACGAUGGGCUUCGUCGAUCGGGAAGUGAGUUGACUUCGCUGUCCGCGGGCCGAGCCGGGGGAGGCAGGCCUCCCUCUGUCGCCGUGGCCCGCUCUCCCUGAUGGAACGGAGAGGCCGUGGGACUGUCAGGAUCCCUUUGUUGCCUGUGGGGUCUCCGGCGCGAGAGCGAGCGUUAUGCUGUUCGCGUGUUCGUGGGAGAGUUUUUAUAAAGAAUCCUUCAGCAGCA